UACGUAGGGAGCAAGCGUUGUCCGGAAUCAUUGGGCGUAAAGAGCGCGUAGGCGGCCGUGUAAGUCCGCUCUGAAAGUCAAAGGCUCAACCUUUGAAAGCGGGUGGAUACUGCACGGCUAGAGUCCGGAAGAGGCGAGUGGAAUUCCUGGUGUAGCGGUGGAAUGCGCAGAUAUCAGGAGGAACGCCGGUGGUGUAGACGGCUCUCUGGACCAUUACUGACGCUGAGGUACGAAAGCGUGGGUAGCAAACAGG
rnacentral:rRNA from 1 species